UGAGCAGCACAGAUGAUCGCACCUGUUUGUACCGAAAGGUCUCAGGUGAGGAAAGUCCGAGCUUCAUAGGGCAGGAUGCCGGAUAACGUCCGGUGGAGGUGACUCCCAGGCUAGUGCAACAGAAAUAAACCGCCGGCCGUCACAGCCAUAGGUUUGUGGCGGCCGGUAAGGGUGGAAAGGCGAGGUAAGAGCUCACCGCCUUUCUGGUAACAGAAAGGGCACAUGUAAACCCCAUCCGAAGCAAGACCGAACAGAGAGCGAUACGGCGGCCCGUCGUGCUUUCGGGUAGGUCGCUAGAGCCUGUUGGUAACAGCAGGUCCA
rnacentral:RNase_P_RNA from 1 species